UGACGUCGGUUCCUCCUCCUGGCUGCAGUUAAUCAGGAGGAUUUUACGACGUCGCAGAGAAACUCGGGUCUUUUUCACCCAGGAAGCUUCAGGCUACAGCCGAAAAUAAAAACGGCUCCCUGGUUUUGCGAGACCCAACACAC